UGUUGUUGUCAGUCCUAUCACGACUUUCGCAUAAACGACACGCAUGUUAUCGGGAAAAAGACGCCGCGUGUGUUUGAUGCAAAAGGCAAAGGAAAAAAGUUAAUGCAUGCAUAUUUAUCCGCUGUGUGUAUUGCAAAAGCAAUUUCAAUUUUUUGCUACCUAAAUCCAAACUACUUACAAAAGGUAGUGUGAUAACGCAAGAUAAUGCAAUAGAAAAUUUAGAGUUCCAUUCUCUCAGCAAAACGUGACAAAUGCACAACAAAUAAAGAAAAUAUUAUUCAAUUCAAAUUGAUUGCCGUCGGUCUCGCUCUCUUUUCUGUGUGUGUCGUUGCCCGUCGUCUGUGUGUUGAAAUCAAUGUGUGUGUGCGUUAAUAAACCACAAAUAACAACAACAAAUUCGUGAGAUUUUACUGCAUUUUAGUCGUAGUCGCAGUCGCAGUACGCGUCGCGUUUUAGUUAGCUUCGAAUUUUAUUUGUACAAUUUCGUAUAUUGUUGUUGUGUUGCUUGUCUGUCUUUCGAGCCGCGCCGUUUGUCGCUGCCGUCGUCGUCGUCGCCGCCACCGACGCUACUGCACACACACAUACACACACUCGCAAACACAAGCAUACACGCACGCACUCAUACAUACAAAUGCGGAAGAGUCGCCGCAGUUAUUGAAAUCAGCUCCCCACCAACAACAAUAAGCCGCUGCUUCUCAAUAAUUGUGCAUUUCUAUAAGCCACAGCAGCAACAAACGCAACAACUGCAAGAAAAUCUCGCAAGCAAAAUUAAUUAAAAUAAGUGCAUAAAAUCGGAAAACGGAAAUCGCAACGAAUUCUAGAAAUUCCGGAAAUAUUCGUAUUUUAAAUGUGUUAAACUGCAAGAAAAUCAAAACAACAAAAUUAAGAAAUUCAAAUGGGCAACUAUUGAAUGGCGGCCAUUAGUGGCCCCAAGCGGCAUCCAUUGAGCAAUCAACACCAUUUCUCCCAUCCAAACAUCAGCACUACCAUCUCCACCAAUACCAAGAUCAAAACCAAUAUCAACAACACCACCACCAACAACAACAAUUGCAACACCACCACAACUAGCACUAACAAUAGCAACAGCAACAGCAACAAUAAGCAGCAAAGGCCUUUUAGCUAUCAAACGCAAGCUAAUCCCCUCCAGCACAACAACAACAACUCCUCCAAUUGCAACAACAGUAGCAGCAACAGCUGCCCAAAUUCUUCAGCUGCUGCGCCGCGUAGCUCAAUGAGCGUAUCGAUGUCACUGGUACAGGGUGGUGCUGCCGGUGGUGCGCCACAGGGCGCUAGCGCAAUAUUGGCCGCUGCGGCUCCAUAUUAUCAGCCGCCAGCUGUGCCCCAGGAUGUGCAACCGGAUCGUCCAAUUGGCUACGGUGCCUUCGGAGUUGUAUGGGCUGUCACAGAUCCACGCGAUGGUCGCCGCGUCGCACUCAAAAAGCUGCCAAAUGUGUUCCAAUCUUUGGUCUCAUCCAAGCGCGUUUUCCGCGAGCUCAAAAUGCUCUGCUUUUUCAAGCAUGAAAAUGUGCUGUCAGCUUUGGACAUUUUACAGCCACCACACUUGGACUUCUUUCAAGAAAUCUAUGUGAUAACGGAGCUGCUGCAGUCGGAUCUGCACAAGAUCAUCGUGUCGCCACAACAUCUAUCCGCCGAUCACAUCAAGGUCUUUCUCUAUCAGAUACUGCGUGGUCUCAAGUAUCUGCACUCGGCUCGGAUUCUCCAUCGCGAUAUUAAGCCUGGCAAUCUGCUCGUCAACUCUAAUUGUGUCCUCAAGAUAUGCGACUUUGGCCUGGCACGUGUCGAGGAGCCCGAUCAGGCCAAGAGCAUGACCCAAGAGGUGGUCACACAAUACUAUCGCGCACCUGAGAUUCUCAUGGGCGCCAGUCAUUAUUCGUCCGCCGUGGAUGUGUGGUCGGUGGGCUGCAUCUUUGGCGAGCUGUUGGGCAGACGCAUCUUGUUCCAGGCACAGAAUCCGGUGCAGCAGUUGGAGCUCAUCACCGAGCUGCUGGGCACACCGACCAUGGAGGAUAUGCGCCAUGCGUGCGAGGGAGCACGCAGACACAUGUUGAGGCGGGCGCCCAAGCCGCCGUCGUUCUCGGUGCUCUACACACUCAGCUCGCAUGCCACACACGAGGCUGUUCACUUGCUCUGCCAGAUGCUUGUCUUCGAUCCGGAUAAGCGCAUUUCGGUGACGGAUGCCUUGGCGCAUCCGUAUCUGGAUGAGGGUCGACUGCGCUAUCAUUCGUGCAUGUGCAAAUGCUGCUUCACUACCUCGGCUGGCAUGCGUCAGUAUACGGCGGACUUUGAGCCAUCGGCCGGACAGCCCUUUGAUGAUUUAUGGGAACGCAAGCUUCCCUCAGUGCAGCAGGUGAAGGAGGAAAUGCACAAAUUCAUUGCCGAGCAGCUGCAAACGGGACGAGUGCCACUGUGCAUCAAUCCGCAGAGUGCGGCAUUCAAGAGCUUUGCCAGCCAAUGAGAAUGAGAAUAUCUACUACUACUACUCGUACUACCACUACUACUACUACCACAACUUGCACUGCUGCUCCUGCCGCUGCCGCUGCUGUUGCCGCUGCUGCCGCUGUCGCUGCUGCUGCUGCCAACCUCUGCCGUUGUCGUUGUCAUUGUCGCUGCCACUGCUGUUGAAGAACAAAAGAAAUACAUGAAAGAGAGUGUACUAGGCGCGAACCAAUAACAUACAUACCGUAUAUAUCGAAAAUAUACCAAAAUAUUGGUAUAUACCAACAUAACGUAUAUAUCAAAAAUAUACCAAAUAUUGAUAUAUACCGACCGACAUAGUAUAAAGUCAAGAGCGAUGAAGUCACAAACAAACAUAAAAAGAGAACUGCUGAAACAGAAAUCGAUAUCGAUUCAGAAAAACAAAAAGGCAGUAUGAACAAUAUACCAAUACCUACCAUAAAAUACCAUAUACCAUAUACCAAUAUCUCAAUCAGAUCGAUCUAGUUGAAUCGAAUCGAAUGUGGGGGAAUCGCGGCAGCAGCAACUCGAAACUUCUCCCAAAGAGGCGCGAUCUUGAAAAACUUUUAGUUCCACUGUGGCACAUCCCUCGGAGCUGCCGCCAUCGCCGCAUCAAUGGGAAUGACGGCAAAAUGAGGCGAUUGCUGCCUAAAAUAUGAAAAGCAACACAGCAACAACAGCAACAUGAACAAUUUUUGACAACACACCUGGAAAAUUGAAAUAUUGGAAGUGAAACAGGAACUUCGCGCCAACUACCAAAACUCACUCAAAAACAAACUAAACAAAAAAAAUUCGAAAAACAAAAACACACAACUUUAGAAACUUAAGCGACGCAUUCUGCGAAUGGCAAAAAUGCUAUUCACAGAAGAAGGAGAAGGAGUAAAAGCAGAAGAAGAAGCAGAAGUAGUAGCAGUCGAAGCAGCAGAUGAAAGGAAGAAACAACGGUUAAAUUGAGAGCGCCGAACAAAUUGUGUUUUUUCGUGCGCAGUCAAUUUAAAAGUUAAAGCAUUCCACCACCGAAAUGAAUAAAUGAAACGAACUAAAAUGCAACAAAACAAACAAACACAAAAUACACACACAACGUAACGUAACUCAACUGAAACUAGUCUAAAAAUAUAUAAAAACGAAGGAAAAAGGAAAACGCAGUGGCAGAGACAACAAAUUCGAUGAUAAACUACAAAAAUUAAUGGAACAUAAACAACAACAAAAAACAAACUACGCAUACAAAUUGUGGAAGGCGUAUUACACAAAAAAACAAAAACUAUUUGGCAACAAAGCAGCUAAUUUGUUGUGCUUGACAAAAUUGGUAAAAACGGAAAACACAAAAAACAAACGAAGUAGAGGAUAGAGGAUAGAAAAGAAAAAAGAGAAGGAGAAGAGUUAAGAGCAACUAUUACUAAACAAUGAAAUUUUUGGUCUAAAUAAGCAAAUUACAAAAAUGUUUUAUGUUAAGCGCUUUAAAUCUAUGUAAAUUAAUUAGCAACUAGACUAAACAUCCCCCCAAAAACAAACAAACAAAACAUUUGCCACUCUCCACCAACCCCAAAAAAAAACUGACGUCAUGUUCGUGUGUGAAUAUUGUAAUAAACAAAACACAAAACAAAACAUAAACUACAACUAUAAAACUAUAAAUUCUAAUUACAAUUAAAAAGUGUGUAACAAAUACAAAUACACUCACACACACGUACAGAAAUUUGUUUGCCAAAUUUACCUCACACACAAAUACACACACACAGACACACACUCACUUUAGAGUAACACAAGAAUUUUGAUUUAACAAAACUCUACUAUAGGAAAAACUCUCAAUGUGUAGUGAAAAACUGUCAACUCUUUAGAAAUUUGUGCAAAUUAACAAAAGCGAAUGCAAAAAGCUAAAUUAAAUUCAUUUCAACACACGUAUAUAUUUAUAUUGUAUUUGCGCUUCAUGUUUGAAACUGGUUUCUCUAACUAUGUGUAAAAAAAGGGAGCAGAGAAAAAUAUAUAUAUAACUAAAUUACAAAUAUAUAUGAAUAUUACGAAUAUAUAUAAAUAUUAACUCUAUAUUUGUGUGCAAAAGAAAUGUAUGUGUGUCAGUGUCUAUUUCUCUGUCUCUGUAUGUAAAAUAGAAAAAAACAAAACAAAACAAAACAAGGCAACAAAUAUGAAAAGAGUUUAGUUAAAAGUUAUGGGAAACAAACAAACUAUCGAAAACAAAACAAAACAAAACAUUUUAACUGUGGACUGAUUAUAAAGCAUAAUUCAAGCAAUUAUGCAAUUAACCAAUUUAAUUUGUACUAAUUCUAAUUCUAAUUCUUAGUUAAUGACAAUUUAUGAAUAUUAUUAUUAUGAUUACGAUUACUAUGAUUACAAUUAGGUUUUAGUUGCUUAGUUCUUAGCACACGCACAUUUCAACUUGAACUUAUUGUACAAUAUGUUUCUCGUAUAAAUUGCGAAUGGUAGUUAAAGAAUAAAACACAAAAAAAGAAACCAACAACAAGUGGACGACACACUGCCCCCCAGUGAAUGUGCACAGGCGCUCAGCAGUUGCAAUGGACACCACAGCAGCACUCACCACCAGCACCACCGCAUUUCACCACCGCACCACACCACACCACACACAACAACAACAUUCGCAGCGAGUGGGGCAACCACAACAACAACAGUCACAGCCAAAUCUCAUUCGAAACUUUUUAUUCACACUGCCUUUUUCUCUGUGCGCGUGCGUGAUUGUGCAUGUUUGAGCGCGUGCGUGCGUGUUUGUGCGUGUCUAUCAACGACGCCGUGCUAUUUCAAUUAGUUUUUACAUACUCUGCAUUAUUUUAAAGUGUAAUAUAGUUUAAUUUCCUUCCUUCCUUCCACCUCACUUUCUACUCUCCCCACACUCGACAUAAUUUCUACAACUUUUUCUUCUUUUUUAAGUAGCAACAAAUGCUCAUGCCAACUAAACGCUAUAGCAAAAAAAAAGAAAUAUGAACAUUCAUCGUUCGUUUAGAUUCAAGCUACAAAAUAUAUAGGAUAUAUACAUAUGUAUGUUUAAGACUGAGUUAUCUCAUUUCCUUAUAAAAGAGAUGGUUGACAAGCGCGCCCAUGCAAUAAAAAAAAAGAAUAAGAAAAUGAAAAUCGAAAUCGAAAUUGGAUAAAUCAAUGUUGAAGAAUUGAAGUUGAAAUUUAAAUUUGAAUUCGUAUUGCUUAAAUUAUGUAUUAAUGUAGCAAACUAUAUAUGAACAUAUAUAUAUAUAUACAAAUAUUACAAUAUACAUGUGUAUAAAUCUAUAUGUGUGCGUAUUUGUAUUUAAUGUCUUUGAUCAUUCAAAGUUUAGAAAAAAACAAAAAGAGAAAAACACACUCGAAAAAUUUGUAGAAUUUGUGCGCUCACUUUAAAAACUAUUUCCACCCAAUUCUUCAACUCUCUUUAACUGUGCUGCUUUCUUAUGUAUGUAGUUUUACAUCAUUAUAUAACUAUAUCGAUAUAUAUGAUCUAUACUUGAGAUAUACUUAUAUAUAUGGCAUUAACUAAUUUAGCGUACGCUUACGAUGAUGAUAAAGAGAAAGAUAGAACGCGAGAAGUAAAGAAACAAAAUAAAAAAAUAAAUAAAUAUGAAUUCAAACUUUCACGGAGAUCUCAUAGCAAAAACAAAAACAAAAAAGGAAAAACGAAAAUUAUGCUGAAAAGCAAAAGGAAAUCAACAGCUUAGACACGACCGGGAAAUUGUGUGAAAAUGAGAGGAAAAUACAUAGUUGAAAAUCCCGUCCUUUGGUUGUAAGCGAUUUCUUUUCGAUUUUUUAACAUAGCCUUUUGUUUAGAAAUAUAACGAUUUUUUUUGUCUUAUAUACAACACAAAUAUGUAGACUACAAAUCUUUGUCACACACACUUACAUACACACACACACUCUGAAAUAUAUAAAUACCUUUAGUUAUUAAAAAAUUCUUACUUGAAUCGAGGAAACGAGUAGAAGAAGAAGAAGAAAGGCAAGAAAUACAAUGCAAAAUUAUCAUCUUCAUUAGAGAUUAAGAAGAACAACACAUUUUACAUACAUACAUCAUUUAUUAAACAAAUUAUGUAAUGAAUAACGACAUCGGACUUAUGUAGGCACCAUGUACAUAACAUUAACACCCCACCAAUACUUAUAUGAUAUAAUAUAACACCCAUACACUUAAUUCUUAAGCGGCAACUAGUUUUUUUUAGUGUUUAGUUCUACAAGUUUAAACGAAAGCGAAACGAAAUCAACUAAUAUAAUUAAUACUAUACGAUACGAUUAUUAUUAUUACGAUUAUGAUUAUGAUUAUGAUUAUUAUAUAUCAUCAUGUGCUCUAUUUCGAAUCAUGAUGUUGACAUGUACAUUUUUGCACUCCUUUCAAUUCAAAUCCCGACAACCACACACAACACACACAUUAAAAUUUAAAUAUAUAUAGAUAUAGAAUCUUAAUUUGUCUAUUUUAAUACUUGGAUUUCAUAGCUUAUGUUUCAAUAAGUUCGAAAAUAUAUGUUUAACUGUUAGUUGACUAAGUAAACUGCAUUAGUAUUUUGACCUAAACCAAUUGUGGAGCAGUACUAAAUAUAUAUAUAUAUAUAUAUAUAUAUAAUUAUAUAGUAGAACCUACAUAAUAUUAUAUAUACGAGUUAACGUUUUCAUAAUGGCUGCAGACGAAGAAUGAGAAGCGAGAUGAAAAAGAGAGAGAAAUAAAAUUGUGUAAAACUGUUUGUAUAAAAAAAGCGACAACAUUUUUGUUUUAUUCUUUGAAUUUUACCAUUUCUUAACAACUCUUAAAACACAAAACUUUCCUUCGAAAUUUUGGAGGCGAGGGAAAUUGUUUCCGAAGACCGUCUAGUAAAAAACCACAGACCCAAUGCAUUUGCAAUUAGAAUUUAUAGCUAUAAAUACAUGUAUGCAUUUUUUUUUUGUGUUAUUUGUCAAGAAUUAGCACUACUAAAAUAUACGAUAUAUACUUAUAUUUAUAAAUAUAUGUGUAUGUAUGGACAAUAUUGCAAAAGAACGAAAAUAAAACAAACUCGAAACAGAUUAUUCCAAAUACAGGUAUCUAAAAAACACAUUUGAAAUGUAUGUCCUUUGGAUCGAAGGCAGCUUUUGAAUAUCUCUCAGAAUAAUAAGUAUUAUAUAUAUAAUAUUGAACUCGAUUAUAAAACGACAUUUGUGCCAGAAUUAACCAAAAAUAAAGACAACAACUUCUUGGCGGACAUUAAACAAAUAAUAGUAAAAAUAAUAAAUGUUUUCUUAACAGAGAAUAAAUUGCGCUCAGGUUAUAAAAAAAAAGAAACAGAAUAUGUAAAGAAUAAAAAUCGACAUUACUUAAAUGUAAAACAAUUAAUUCAAAAUAUAAAAAAAAAACCAAAAACAUAUUGCAUACAACAUACAUAACUAAAU